rnacentral:rRNA from 1 species
GCAACCUGCCUGUAAGACUGGGAUAACUUCGGGAAACCGAAGCUAAUACCGGAUAGGAUCUUCUCCUUCAUGGGAGAUGAUUGAAAGAUGGUUUCGGCUAUCACUUACAGAUGGGCCCGCGGUGCAUUAGCUAGUUGGUGAGGUAACGGCUCACCAAGGCAACGAUGCAUAGCCGACCUGAGAGGGUGAUCGGCCACACUGGGACUGAGACACGGCCCAGACUCCUACGGGAGGCAGCAGUAGGGAAUCUUCCGCAAUGGACGAAAGUCUGACGGAGCAACGCCGCGUGAGUGAUGAAGGCUUUCGGGUCGUAAAACUCUGUUGUUAGGGAAGAACAAGUACAAGAGUAACUGCUUGUACCUUGACGGUACCUAACCAGAAAGCCACGGCUAACUACGUG